GAGCCAAGAUUUGUCGCCUUAAGCGACUAAAGUGAUUGAACUGAAGAGUUUGAUCCUGGCUCAGAUUGAACGCUGGCGGCAUGCCUAACACAUGCAAGUCGAACGGUAACAGGCCUUCGGGCGCUGACGAGUGGCGGACGGGUGAGUAAUGCGUAGGAAUCUGCCCAGUAGCGGGGGACAACUUAGGGAAACUUAAGCUAAUACCGCAUACGCCCUACGGGGGAAAGCAGGGGAUCUUCGGACCUUGCACUAUUGGAUGAGCCUACGCCGGAUUAGCUAGUUGGUAGGGUAAAAGCCUACCAAGGCGACGAUCCGUAGCUGGUCUGAGAGGACGAUCAGCCACACUGGGACUGAGACACGGCCCAGACUCCUACGGGAGGCAGCAGUGGGGAAUAUUGGACAAUGGGGGCAACCCUGAUCCAGCAAUGCCGCGUG
rnacentral:rRNA from 1 species